UACAAGUAUGCUAACAAGUAACGUGCUAGCACGCGUUAACUGUUAGCAUACUUGUUCGACAACUUGCCUAAAACAUGAUUUUUCUAAUGGAGCUUCAAGCUUCAAAUACUCAGGCUGAUGCCCCUGCGACCCAACCUGGGAUAAGCAGAAUAUGAAUAUGAAUGAAUGGCCAUGCUGUCUGUCCAUGUGUGCCUGAGGGGAGGGGCUGUCACUGACUUCACAGGACUUCAUGUAAUUACAUGCACCUGCCACCAUUGUCACAAUGACACAGCAUUUUUGUGUUGGAUUUGUUGAAAAACUUCAUGCCGAAUGAAGUCUGAUUGUGGUCAAACGCUUCAAGAUAUCAACUUUUCGGGAAAACUGUGAGCUCCCCAAGGCUUUGAGGAAUGUUCCAGUGUUCUCAGAUUUAUGAUAAAUGGAAAAAUGGCAGAGUAGAGCGAGUAACUUAGAGAAUGAGAAAUGUUGUGCUAUUGCUUGUCUAUUCUGUCAUGUGAUGGUCAAACCAAGCCAAGUUGGCUGUUGGACAGCAAGCAGCUCACAAACUAUGUGAGGACAAAAGAGGCUUAAAAUCUUCCUGCAAAAAGCAGAUACAAGCAAAAAAUCGAACUAUUCAAUGGAAUGGAUACUUUACCAAAAAAAGAUUUGUGGAGUGAUAUCAAGGAUUAUAUGUUGGUCGCCUUCCCGGACAGAUGGAAACUUGGAAAAGCAUUGGAGGUCUACAACUUCUUUGUGUGUGGUUGGGUCUCCUGGAGAAAUACGCAUCGUUUUUGCUCGGAUCAUCCCCAAGUGUUUCUUCUUCCUCCGCCGUUUCCAGGUUCUCCCUUUUGUCAACAUUCAGUCAGAAGCAGGGGGCGCAUCAGGCGCGUGACAACCCCCAACCCGUCCCCCCAGUAAAAGCAGCAUAUCUUAUACCCUGGCUGUCAAUACACGGGCGAGGAUGAGACACCUGCUUUUGGAAGAAAUUGCCACAAUUUCAGCUCCACACCUCAAGAUCUUAGCGGCCCUGCAAAGAUCUCUAAUGAGGAAGCAUAGUGAAGGAGAGCGGGUGAUCAUGCGACGUGUGUCACAAGACAAGCGCUGUUGACAUUUUAGAAUAGACACACCUGUCGAUCAUGCCCGUGCUAGCCACUCUAUGCAAAAUUCAUUUUAUUUUUAUGUUGUGUUGUUUGGUCUCGGAGGCGCUUUGAUUGAAGCUUCCAGUCUGCGGCGACCAAUGUUGGAGAAAUCCAAUGCAUACAGUAUGCUUACAGUGUGGGAUAUUAACACAGUCUAUAGUCUGGAGCUUGCAUUCUCGAUUUCCCUGGACGUAGCAUACAUUCUGUUGGUUUGCUAUUAGCAUUAUCUUUUUACCUCGCAAUACAUGUAUUAUACUGUAGAGCUACGCUCUCUGAAGACCAAUCAUAACAUAAAUAUAUGACACAAAAGUGUAAAUAAUUCAACAAUGGAACAAUGCAUGCAUGGGCUCUUCCUUGUGUCCUUGUGUUUUUAGAUCUGUGUUAAAUCACUGACAGGAUCCAUGAUUGACUACUAGGUAGGGGACUGGUGUGUGUGUCAGAAACAGGAGAUUGAAUCAGAGGUGAAAUGUGUGUUUGUGUGGGUCUGUGAGGGAGAUUGAGGAGUUACGGUCUCCGUCACAAAGACGUAAUGCGAAGGGACGGCUGGUGUCAGAACAAAGGAAUCAAAAAUAAAAAGUCCAGCGUAGAUGUGCUCAUCGCUGUGCACUGAUGUGAAAACGAGCGCUCGCCGUGACACAAGCAAAAGGCUGUGAAAAGGAGACUGAGUCACUUUGCGUCAGCGCAAUGUCACCUCUGACGUCCAAACAAGAGGGAUGCUGACAUGCUCGACUGAGCCCUGACGUUUGAUUCCCAGUCUCGGGGUAUCUUAUAAACAAAUAAACUGGCCUGUGGGUGACUUGAAUGCAAUUAAAAGGAAAGAUUUGUGUGUCAAAUCUGCUCUAAUCAUUAAAUGUGAUGUUUCUAGUGAGAUAAACUGUGUAACUAAAGACUUGCUAUUAAACAUGAGAUGCAUUCUCUUUGUGGCUGUAAAACCCACUGGCCUGUGGCAGCUGCAGUCCCACUGAUGUGCCCAUGCUCCCUCGUGCCCUCUGCUGCUUGCUGACUGAGCGGGGGCAUCCUUGGAGGAGUUUCUCGCUCUGGUGACUGCUCCAGAUUCGACCAGGGUCAUGUGCUAUG